rnacentral:rRNA from 1 species
UACGAAGGGGGCUAGCGUUGCUCGGAAUUACUGGGCGUAAAGGGAGCGUAGGCGGACAUUUAAGUCAGGGGUGAAAUCCCAGAGCUCAACUCUGGAACUGCCUUUGAUACUGGAUGUCUUGAGUGUGAGAGAGGUAUGUGGAACUCCGAGUGUAGAGGUAGAAAUUCGUAGAUAUUCGGAAGAACACCAGUGGCGAAGGCGACAUACUGGCUCAUUACUGACGCUGAGGCUCGAAAGCGUGGGGAGCAAACAGG